rnacentral:rRNA from 1 species
UACGUAGGCAGCAAGCGUUGUUCGGAAUUACUGGGCGUAAAGGGCGCGUAGGCGGCCCGCUAAGUCGAACGUGAAAUCCCUGGGCUCAACCCAGGAACUGCGUCCGAUACUGGCAGGCUUGAAUCCGGGAGAGGGAUGUGGAAUUCCAGGUGUAGCGGUGAAAUGCGUAGAUAUCUGGAGGAACACCGGUGGCGAAGGCGGCAUCCUGGACCGGUAUUGACGCUGAUGCGCGAAAGCCAGGGGAGCAAACGGG